CGCCUCUCCCUCAACCUCUGUUCUCCGGACGGAGCAGGGCUCGCCAUCCUCUUCGAGGUUGCGGGUACCUGCCCGAAAACAGACUUUGCGGGGUGGCAAAGGACAGAGCCAGGAGAGCCGCGCUCCAGCCUGUCCGGGGUUUUCUCUCGUUCCUCGCACAACGGAACGCGGCUCUGCCCCUUCGCGCCCCGAAAACCGGAGAGGAUCGCCGCGGCAGGGGCCGAAGCCCGAUUUCGUAAAGGCCGCGGGGGUCAGGGGUUGCGCCGGCGCCAUCGUUUGAAGCGCGGGUCUCUCGCUCACCGCCCGCACCGCGAAUCCUCAAGUCCCCGCGAAAAAGGCCGUCUCGGCGCGUCCGAAAGGAAGGGAGAGACGGUGAGCGGGCUUGAACGCUUCGGUGGGAGCCCGUCCAAACCUGCAGACUGGACACGGGCACGCGUGAGCCCCACCUGCCCCUGGGGACGGCAGGGACACUUUGCACUGAGGGUGUCCUUUCUGUUAAUCUAAUUAGAGCGCUAAAGAAAUUAUGCCCCCUCCCACUCUUGAGUGGGUGUUAACCCGCACGCUUUGCAGCCGCGUUGAUCAGAUCCCUGAAAACAAACUCGAUCGACAAUUCUCCGGGAGUUCUGCUAUUUAAAAACAAAGCAAAAUGACACAGAUCAUUCUACGGUGACCUAGCUUAGAGCCCAGCUCCGAACAACUCCGGCGUCAGCACAACACGCUCCAGAGCGGAAAGCAGAAAAUUUGACUUUACCACCAGCUACGGCAUCCCUGCUCAGCCCGAACCAAGGCCGGCACCCAGCAGCAGGGACAGAAGCCGAGAGGAUCACAGGGCUGGAGAAACUUCAGCCCAGCCUUCCAGCCUUUUCCUGGUGCCAGUGAAGCUGGCCAGGCAGAAUCCUACAAGGCUGAUAAACCACGUUGUGACAAACUGUUCCGGUUCGCCCACUUUACUGGUGCACAGUUUCCAACUAGGGCCAGAGCUCGCACAAUCCUAUUUUUGCUAAUCAGAGCAGGAACAGAACAGCUGCAUCACCAGUAACACAGAGCUCCCUCAACUGCAGAUCGGGGUAUUACCUCUGAAAAUCAUGGCUCUGAUGAUCAACAGUGCUUGAGGAGGAAUGAAACCUGAGCAACCAGGGAUGUGGCUCUUCUGCACCUGGAAACAACAAGUCUGCGUUUGGCACAGCGCUGCAUCACGGCUAAAGAGCUUGUUCGCAUCACCACAGGGACGUAACUCCUCUGGCUCUGGAGCUUACGGGGCUCUGCCCCAGACAGGGGAUCUUUGCCCUCCCCUGUACUGAACGGUACGGGGAUGCCCUCUUGCUUCUUCUGAAUAUUUGAUUGAAAACAAUAAAAUAAUCUUCACAUGUG